rnacentral:tRNA from 1 species
GCAGUCGUGGCCGAGUAGUUAAGGCGAUGGACUAUAAAUCCAUUGGGGUCUCCCCGCACAGGUCCGUAUCUUGUCGACUGCG